rnacentral:rRNA from 1 species
UACGGAGGGAGCUAGCGUUAUUCGGAAUUACUGGGCGUAAAGCGCAACGUAGGCGGCUUUGUAAGUUAGAGGUGAAAGCCUGGAGCUCAACUCCAGAAUUGCCUUUAAGACUGCAUCGCUUGAAUCCAGGAGAGGUGAGUGGAAUUCCGAGUGUUAGAGGUGAAAUUCGUAGAUAUUCGGAAGAACACCGAGUGGCGAAGGCGGAGCUCACUGGACUGGUAUUGACGCUGAGGUGCGAAAGCGUGGGGAGCAAAGCAGGAGUUAGAAACCCG